rnacentral:rRNA from 1 species
UACGAAGGGAGCUAGCGUUACUCGGAAUAACUGGGCGUAAAGCGUAUGUAGGCGGAAUCACAAGUCAGGGGUGAAAUCCCGGGGCUCAACCCCGGAAUUGCCUUUGAAACUGUGAUUCUUGAGUAUGACAGAGGAUGGUGGAAUUUCCAGUGUAGAGGUGAAAUUCGUAGAUAUUGGAAAGAACACCGGUGGCGAAGGCGACCAUCUGGGUCAUAACUGACGCUGAGAUACGAAAGCGUGGGGAGCGAACAGG